GUAUCUAAUUCAUCAAAAUCCCAAAUCAAAGAACACAUCCAGAUUUGCCGAUAACUUAAUAGUAAAUGCUCUUGAACAGCUCAAAUUCAAUUUGAGGUAUAAACAAAUGGGCGAUUCGAAGAAGAAGAAGCGGAGCGGUGGCGGAGGUCGCCGCGCCCAGUCGAAGGGCCAUCACUCGACUACCGCCGAUAAUUCAGAAAUUUUAACCGAGGAAGAAACUGCGUUGUGAGUUUUUUCUUAUUUUUGAACUUUUAAUGAACACAUUUUAUAUUAUUGUUGUUUACUUGUUUUUAUCAUUCUAGUGAGCUACUAUGUGUAGAUAUUUUGUUCAAUGAAUGUACGUUCAAUAGCUUGAGCUCCUGAAUCACCUCCUCGAAUCAACAUCAAGCUCAGGUCAUGCUCAAAGGAUACCGGAUAUGAGGAUUCUAAUGUUUGUGCUCAGCUUUCUUUGAGAUGUUUACCAGGUUAUCCAUAUAAAUGCCCGAAGCUGUAGAUAAUACCAAAGAAAAGGCUUAUCAAAAACUGAUGCUAAUAAUCUUUUAUCUCUACUUUAUGAUCAGGUAGGACCUUAGUGAUAGCCAGAGGAGGAGGAGGAUUACUCGAUAUGUUCUUUGAUUUGGGAUUUUGAUGAAUUGGAUACGACGGCGAUUAGUUUAGGGGAUGUAUUAUUUUACUCUUUUUUAUAAGUAUAAUAAAGUAUAAUAAUACUGAUAAUUCCAUGUGGAUUAAUAAGUCCACGUAAUCAAACUCCGGCGUUCCACGUCAACUUUCGGGCGCUGAAAAUAUUUUAAGGGACACAAUUUAAAAAAUAUUGGUAGGUUGGGUACCAAUUAGAUAUUAUCGAAAAGUUGAGACAAAUCGAUAAUUCGACCAAACGAUGGGACAUAAAGUGAUAUUUACCCAUUUGUUUUCUAUAUAAUGUGUUUUUGUUUUCUAGAGAAUUAGGAGAGUCACCUAUUAUAUAAUCAAAUAAGCAAUUCACGCAGACAAAACAUGUACAUUACACAACGGUGAAAAAAUUAUCUACAUAUAAAUAAAACCACUACUUAUAUAGAAAUGAAAAAACUAAAUGCACGCAGGAAAGAUUGAAUUCAAGACCUCUCAUAAAAGAGAGUCUCGAAAUUGCUAAACUAGUUGCAACUUGCAAAUAUAGCAUCACCAGCUCAAUGGAAAUACUAAAAACGAACAAAAAAAAUUAGAGGACACACUGCCAUAUAAGAAAUUUUCUUUUUGGUCAAAAACUACCCUAUAAGAAUUAAUUAAAUUUACUUUCGUCAUAUGUUUAUUUGAUUUAUUCAAUUCAAUGUUAAAUUUACUUUUGCAAAUAUAGCAUCACAGUUGAUUGUGCAGUGUGUGAAUCCUUCGAGUGAGAGGCGUCCUCUCAUGAGCUAUGUGGUGACGGAACUAGAUCGGAUUCUUGAGAAAGAAAUGAGCUUGACGACAAUCAUGGGGGAAGGAACUCCGGUCGUGACCUUUGGAAGGCAGCGAUUCGCUUAUAUAGUGGGGAGGUUGUAGAUUUCUUAAAUUAUUUUUAAACGGCCACAGCGAUCGCUGGGU